AUAUCACAGAACACAGAUAAAAAUAUGAAGGCAUCCACAAAAUGAUUGACUGUAUAAAGUAUUGAACGAUUCUGCGACUUGGCAAUGCUGACAAGAGAUUGAACAACUAGUAAAACUCCUGCAGCCACCUGCAUAUAAAAAUCUACUUUGUACUAUAACUACGGUACUUUAGCAUGCUGAUCGAUGAGCCUAAGAGGCUGUGACGAAUACUCGAUGCCGAAACCAGAUAUUAUAACAUUCACAACUGAUAUUACAAAGAUGACCACCAAUAUGACAUCGUUCAAUAUUAUUGCUGCCGUCUGGUCUUGCUGCUUGUUAAUAUUCAGACUGCCGAUGGCCACAAACAUAAUUCCGACCAAUAGCUGUUCAAAUGAAAAUUGAAAUUGUUUUUAGAGAGCAGCGAAUGUUCCCACGGAUCGGAUCAGUUAUUAAUUUGAUAUAGUUUCGUAAGCUCUAGAUAUACAAUUUUAAUUGACAUCGUUCAAAAGAUUGCCCUGUGGCGGGGGCAGGCGACUAUCAAAAGCCGAUAUGAAAAGAUUUAUCAUUGUGGUAAAAAACGCAAAACCGGUGCGCACAUGAUUGAUCACAUUGGCCGAUUGAUGGAACUCUGGCUGAUGCAUUCGGCAAUCCCGCAAUAAACUGAGAGACAGGCUUAAUACGCCCGACAGUAUCUAUGACAUUGGAGAACGAGCCGUUACAACCCCAAAGCCAAGGAAAUCAAAUAGAAAUUGACUAUUUACCUGCAUAACAAUUGACAAGCUAAUAAGUAUAAGCAUUAGCUUGUAGAAUUGAUGCUGUUCCCCGACCUGAAGUAUAUAUUUCAACUGAGAUGCGUUUGCCGUCAGCAAAGCUAUAUCCAGCAUGCCCUGGGCUAUAGUUUUUUUGGUCGCAUAGCGAUUGGCAUCCAUGGCUUUCAUCUGAAAAUAUGCAUCAAAAACAAUAGACAGGUUAGUUCCAAUAAUUCGAAAUCAAAUUCUCAAUACAUUUACACACUGAUGAUGCCAUCUUUAGAAGUAUGUCUGUUCCCCUCAAGACUCGAACUAGCUGUGAAGUGAAUCUGCUCUUGUUCGAAUUUUUAAAAUUUCUUAUCUUUGCAAUUGUUCUGAUACAUUCAUGUGCCUUGCUGAUAAACACAACUCAAACCAAUUAGUUAAAAGUGCAAAUAUAUUCUGCUGUAAUGGGUACAAGGAUAGAGACAGCAUCUAUUGAAUAGUUGUACGCCUUUUGACAAUCUUUUUAACGUAAGUUUUAAUCGAAGAAACAACUAAAUAUCGUACCUGCCAUGCAUUCUGUACAGGUUUCUGCAAGAAACAAAUGACAUAUCAACAAAAUUACGGUAUUCAAAUAAAUAAAGUUAUGUAAACAAAAGAA